GCCUCCACUGAUCACUCUCCUAUGUUCAUUUCCUCAAAAUGAUGAGUCCUGCCCAGUUCCUGUUUCUGCUAGUGCUCUGGAUUCAGGAAACCAACGGUGAUGUUGUGAUGACCCAGACUCCACUCACUUUGUCAGUUACCAUUGGACAACCAGCCUCCAUCUCUUGCAAGUCAAGUCAGAGCCUCUUACAUAGUAAUGGAAAUACUUAUUUGAAUUGGUUAUUACAGAGGCCAGGCCAGUCUCCAAAGCUCCUAAUCUAUCUGGUUUCUAAACUGGACUCUGGAGUCCCUGACAGGUUCAGUGGCAGUGGAUCAGGGACAGAUUUCACACUGAGAAUCAGCAGAGUGGAGGCUGAGGAUUUGGGAGUUUAUUACUGCCUUCAACAUACACAUGCUCCUCCCACAGUGAUUCAGACCUGA